rnacentral:tRNA from 1 species
GGGUAUAUAGCUCAGUGGUGGAGCAUGGGCUUAGCAUGCCCAAGGUUCUAGGUUCAAUCCCCAGUACCUCUG